GGGUUUGAUCCUGGCUCAGGACUAACGCUAGCGGCGUGUCUUAGCCAUGCAAGUCGUACGGAACCUUUAUUAGUAGCAAUACAAGGAAAGGUUUAGUGGCAAACGGGUGAGUAACGCGUGGAUAAUCUGCCUUCAGGAGAUGAAUAACAGGGGGAAAUCUCUGCUAAUGCAUCAUAAUAUCUUUUUUACACAAGUAGAAAGGAUCAAAGCAGGGGACCGCAAGGCCUUGCACCUGGAGAUGAGUCCGCGUCCCAUUAGCUUGUUGGUGAGGUAACGGCUCACCAAGGCUGUGAUGGGUAGCCGGCCUGAGAGGGUGACCGGCCACAUUGGAACUGAGACACGGUCCAGACUCCUACGGGAGGCAGCAGGCUAGAAAAUUGGGCAAUGGGCGCAAGCCUGACCCAGUGACGCCGCGUGGGUGAUGAAGGCCUUCUUGGUUGUAAAACCCUGUGAGAAGGGAAGAUGGGGUGUAAUAAUAACACUAUUACAUUCUGACGUUGUACCUUCAGAGGAAGCUCCGGCUAACUCCGUGCCAGCAGCCGCGGUAAUACGGAGGGAGCAAGCGUUGUCCGGAAUCACUGGGCGUAAAGGGAGCGUAGGUGGGUAGGUCAGUUGGAUGUGAAAUCUUACGGCUUAACCGUAAAACUGCAUUCAAUACUUCCUAUCUUGAGUACGGGAGAGGGGAGCGGAACUCCUAGUGUAGCGGUGAAAUGCGUAGAUAUUAGGAGGAACACCAGCAGCGAAGGCGGCUCUCUGGCCCGUAACUGACACUGAGGCUCGAAAGUUAGGGUAGCGAACAGGAUUAGAUACCCUGGUAGUCCUAGCUGUAAACG
rnacentral:rRNA from 1 species